rnacentral:lncRNA from 1 species
CUGGAACUAGAGAUAGAGACCAACUGUAUAUUGAUUGUUUUAUGUCACAGGGGGUCAACUUAUUGUGACACCAUUUGCUUACAGAAACCAUUGGAAUUUCACCUUCAAACUGGACUUGCAGAACUGUCAGCCUUAAAGUAUGUGUCCAGUCUGUCUCUUUAGCGGCUUGUCAGGAGUUACAUGGAAAAUACAUUUUCCUGACUUCAAUGGCAUUCCCAUCGAUAUGCAUUAGCCUUUCACAUAUUCAGCUUCUGUUGGCUUUCCAUGGCUUCCAGGGAGGUGAGAUAAUGUGGUUUAAGGAACAACAAAGACUCAGGCCAAGACUUUGCCAAUUAUCUCAGUAAGUCACCUCCCAGAGACUCCACCUCCUUACUUCUAAUAGGGGAAUAAUGCACCUACUCUGCAGGGCUGCUUUGAGAAUAAAUCGGGUAACAUAAGCAAACAUUCCUUUCUUUAAAAUGUCAACACAUUUGAACUGACCAAAGAUCAACACAGUCACCCAUUCAAUGGGGAUGUGACUGCACAAAAAGUACCUCGGAAAAUGCCAGGUGUCUCACCGCCUUGUUUCCCUCACGAUCAGUGGAGCCGCAGGGCAGAACCGUGCUCCAACCUCCGCAACACCUCCCCAAAAUCCCACCCGAGGUCCCUAGAGUAUCCCACACUGGAGCCCAGUGCCCUAAGUACUCCAGUUCUUCUUAAAGGGCUGCUUGAUAUUCUGGUAAGUGGAAAGUUCCCCACUCCACUUCCUCCAGCACCUCUGCCCUUUGAGGGUGCC